rnacentral:rRNA from 1 species
GAUCUUGGUUCAGGAUGAACGCUGGCGGCGUGCCUAACACAUGCAAGUCGAGCGAUUACUUCGGUAAAGAGCGGCGGACGGGUGAGUAACGCGUGGGUAACCUGCCUCAUACACAUGGAUAACAUACCGAAAGGUAUGCUAAUACAGGAUAAUAUAAGAGAUUCACAUGGAUUUCUUAUCAAAGCUCCGGCGGUAUGAGAUGGACCCGCGUCUGAUUAGCUAGUUGGUAAGGUAAUGGCUUACCAAGGCGACGAUCAGUAGCCGACCUGAGAGGGUGAUCGGCCACAUUGGAACUGAGACACGGUCCAAACUCCUACGGGAGGCAGCAGUGGGGAAUAUUGCACAAUGGGCGAAAGCCUGAUGCAGCAACGCCGCGUGAGUGAUGAAGGCCUUCGGGUCGUAAAACUCUGUCCUCAAGGAAGAUAAUGACGGUACUUGAGGAGGAAGCCCCGGCUAACUACGUGCCAGCCGCGGC